rnacentral:rRNA from 1 species
UACGUAGGGUGCGAGCGUGAAUCGGAAUUACUGGGCGUAAAGCGUGCGCAGGCGGUUUUGUAAGCCAGAUGUGAAAUCCCCGGGCUCAACCUGGGAAUGGCAUUUGGGACUGCAAGGCUGGAGUGCGGCAGAGGAGACUGGAAUUCCUGGUGUAGCAGUGAAAUGCGUAGAUAUCAGGAGGAAUACCGAUGGCGAAGGCAGGUCUCUGGGCUGACACUGACGCUCAUGCACGAAAGCGUGGGGAGCAAACAGG